rnacentral:rRNA from 1 species
UGAACGCUGGCGGUAUGCUUAACACAUGCAAGUCGAACGGAAACGAUACUAGCUUGCUAGUAGGCGUCGAGUGGCGGACGGGUGAGUAACGCGUAGGAAUCUGCCUGAUAGUGGGGGAUAGCCCGAAGAAAUUCGGAUUAAUACCGCAUAAUCUAUUCGUAGUAAAGUGGGGGACUUUCGAGCCUCACGCUAUCAGAUGAGCCUGCGUAAGAUUAGCUUGUUGGUAGGGUAAAAGCCUACCAAGGCGACGAUCUUUAGCUGGUCUGAGAGGAUGAUCAGCCACAUCGGGACUGAGACACGGCCCGAACUCCUACGGGAGGCAGCAGUGGGGAAUAUUGGACAAUGGGGGCAACCCUGAUCCAGCAAUACCGCGUGUGUGAAGAAGGCCUGAGGGUUGUAAAGCACUUUCAAUUGUGAAGAAAAGUUAGCGGUUAAUAACCGUUAGCCUUGACGUUAACUUUAGAAGAAGCACCGGCUAACGCCGUGCCAGCAGCCGCGGUAAUACGGAGGGUGCAAGCGUUAAUCGGAAUUACUGGGCGUAAAGCGUGCGUAGGCGGUUUAUUAAGUCAGAUGUGAAAGCCCCGGGCUUAACCUGGGAACUGCAUUUGAAACUGGUCAACUAGAGUAUGGUAGAGGAAAGUGGAAUUUCUGGUGUAGCGGUGAAAUGCGUAGAUAUCAGAAGGAACAUCAAUGGCGAAGGCAGCUUUCUGGACCAAUACUGACGCUGAGGUACGAAAGCGUGGGUAGCAAACAGGAUUAGAUACCCUGGUAGUCCACGCCGUAAACGAUGAUAACUAGCCGUUGGGGGGAUUUACCCUUUAGUGGCGAAGCUAACGCGUUAAGUUAUCCGCCUGGGGAGUACGGCCGCAAGGUUAAAACUCAAAGGAAUUGACGGGGACCCGCACAAGCGGUGGAGCAUGUGGUUUAAUUCGAUGCAACGCGAAGAACCUUACCUGGUCUUGACAUCCUGCGAACUUUCUAGAAAUAGAUUGGUGCCUUCGGGAACGCAGUGACAGGUGCUGCAUGGCUGUCGUCAGCUCGUGUCGUGAGAUGUUGGGUUAAGUCCCGUAACGAGCGCAACCCCUAUCCUUAUUUGCCAGCACAUCAUGGUGGGAACUAUAAGGAGACUGCCGGUGAUAAACCGGAGGAAGGCGGGGACGACGUCAAGUCAUCAUGGCCCUUACGACCAGGGCUACACACGUGCUACAAUGGGAAGGACAAAGAGCCGCGAAGCCGCGAGGUGUAGCUAAUCUCAUAAACCUUUUCGUAGUCCGGAUUGGAGUCUGCAACUCGACUCCAUGAAGUCGGAAUCGCUAGUAAUCGUAGAUCAGAAUGCUACGGUGAAUACGUUCCCGGGUCUUGUACACACCGCCCGUCA